rnacentral:rRNA from 1 species
UGGUCAAGUUAUUAAGGGUGCAGGGCGGAUGCCUUGGCACUAGGAGCCGAUGAAGGACGUGAUAAGCUGCGAUAAGCUUCGGGGAGUUGCACGUAAACUUUGAUCCGAAGAUUUCCGAAUGAGGAAACUCACUUAGAGUAAUGUCUAAGUAUCAUUAAGUGAAUACAUAGCUUAAUGAGGGGAACUCAGGGAACUGAAACAUCUAAGUACCUGAAGGAAGAGAAAGAAAUUCGAUUCCGUAAGUAGCGGCGAGCGAACGCGGAUUAGCCCAAACU